GGGGUGAUCGCAGCUACUUGUGGGCUGCAGCCUCAAUCUUAUUCUCUAGCCCUGACCUCUUUCUUGAACUUCAGAUCUCAAUAUACAUCUCAAUAUGCAAUACCAGUGUCUUUGUUCCUGAGGAGUCUUAGUGUCUGAGAGAGUGGGAGUCUUUCCAACUUCCCACGUGGCAAUAGAUGCUAUUUCCAUUUGGGAUUUCCAAGGUGCUUACCUAGCACAACAGAACCUUAGGAGCAAAGAAUGGAAAGUGAGGCACAGAAGCAGAAUCUGGGGAAUUUUCUCCACCAUCAUAUCGGGAUAUUAGGUUGGAUUUUCCAGAAAUUCAAAUUCAUCAGUGUCCCACUGCUAAUUGGAAAGUUCACAGGAGACUAAAGUACAAGGCAGAAUGUCAAUAAAUUCAUUGCCACAGAGAAACAAAACUGCCCCAUGUUGAUCUAAACAGUGCUUUCUACACAGGAAGCCAAAUUACACUCAGAAGAUAUUUGGGUGAACAUGGCAAACUACCAAUGACAUUCCUCAUUUGUUCUGUGACAAGGGCUUAACAUUCAUUACAUAUAAAUAGCUGGAUGAAGAAACUGAGACUCAGAGAGGCCAAGUAGCUUGCCCCAGAUAGCUGUGUAAGCAGUGGUGCUGAGAUUCAAAUUCAGCACCAAAGCCUAAUUUGUUUAACCACUGACAUACACAACACAGAUGGUAUUGCUAUAGAGAAAAGAGUGAUAAGCUUUUGUCUAAGUCAAGCUGAUGUUUAACAUAAUACCUGUGACAGUGCUCUGAUACAGCUUUAUAGCCACACAGAUGGGAAGGAUUAUUCUUGAAAAUGCUUUCCCCAAAUGAAUCUUCAUAAUCAGGGUUUUAUGUUAAAUGCACUAUAUGAGUUACUUUUUCAAAAGGCUCCUGCUGUAAAGCAAGUAAAUAAUUUUGUUCCUGAAAAUGAAAAAUCAUCCUGAUUUACCUACCACGUGGUAUAUCUGUUGGAGUCAAAGAUGUAUUUGUCUUGGGCCAGGUAGAAUUUAGGUUUCAAUUCCAGAUCAACAUCAGCUAUGUUACCUCGGACAUAGGCCUUACCACCUCCUGACUUGUCCUCCAGCCAAAGAGAAAGUUCUUGAGUCAUCCGAAUGACACUUCUUCUACGUCUAUGCCCCACAAGUCACUGUGGUGUGGCUCCACAUCCCGAGCGUUCUCUUCGAGAUCAUGAUGAUGCUGUCACUGCAACUUCCAGAGACUUCUUAAUCUGCAGCUGCUUCUACGGGUCAUUCACUAGCAGGACCGCCACCUCCUUCUGGAAACUCUCCUGCCUCGGCAUCUGCAGUGAUUCUCUCCUGGUUCUCCUCCUUUCCCUCCAACAACUUUCUCUGUCUUUUUGGCCGGUUCUCUUUUUCUCUGCCUCAUCAUUAAAUGUGAAAGAUUGAAGAGCCUCCCCACCCUUCUUUUCCUCCUUAAAUUUUAUUAUUUGAAUGGGCAUUUUCAUAAUUUAAUUAGAACUGUUUCAAUAAAAUAACAAUAAACUACCAUUUAUUAAAUGCAUAUUAAAUGUACACCAAUCACUGUGCUAAACAUUACUUUAUUUCAAUUGAUCGCCACAGCAGCCAUCUGUGGUAGGUAUUACUAAGAUUCCUCAUUUACAGAUGGGGAAAAAGCAGCUAAGAAAAGACCACCUAUUCAUCCAUCUGACUGCACAUCUAUUUCUCUGCCCCAAAACACAGAUACAGGAGAAGAUUGUUCAUCCAGAAGUUCAGAUACUAGGUGCAUCUGAACAAAGGAACUGUUUCAAAGGGUUUUUUUUCUUACCCUUUGAAAAAAAUACAUCAUACUUUUGUAAAAAUUGAAGAAAACUUGCUGGAGGUCAUGGUGUAUGGGGAAGGAAUGCGCUCUGCUAGGCUGACUGGUCAGGGACAGCCAUCGCUGGGAUUUGGCCAGGGUGACUGCCCAAGUUACCACAACAGAUCUGUUCGAUUUCCCUUAUCCAUCCCCACAUUUCUAAAUCUUAUUUAUACAUCAAGUCCAGGUCAAACCCCCUUCAUUCUCGAAGUCUUCUCUGAUUCUCCUCCCCCAACAGGCACAAAUGGACCCAGACCCCAGCCAGAAUGUGUCUGUGAUGGCACUUGGCAUUUUAUCAUCCAUGGUUAAUACUGCACUUCAGAAAGCAUUUCAACUAUCAGUUUCAUGCUCUACCUCCCUUUCUGGUCUCCUUGGGGCUGGGAGUUGCAGCUACUUCAUCUUUAUGAUGUUUUCAGAACCAAGCCCAGUGCCUGGAACACAGACGUUCAUAAAUGACUGACCAAUUUUAACUGAAUGACAUUGGCUUUGAAAGGCGAGGGGCACCCCCAAAUCACUCUAAUGCCAGCACUGAGCAGUGUAUUACGUACACAGCAGGUGCUAAACAAAUAAAAAAUCGUCUCACCUCUCUCAAUCCUUCCAAAAAUAAGGAUCAGGAAAUGGGGACUGAGACAGAGUUUUCUAAAGGCUUGUGUUCACAGACAUGUUGGGGUGGUGGCUUUUGACAUUCUCCAUGAUGAACUAAGCAGAAAAAAGACCAUGUUUGGACACAUUCUAGUUCUCCUAUUCAGGAAAUGAGAGUUAAAUCUUUGAAGACAGACAGGGCUCCAAGAUUUACUAUAACCACCUGCUUCUACAGAGGAGAGCUGGGAGGUAAAACAACUCCAUCCAAGAACAGGACAAGAAGGACAGCAGAUGCAUUUUACUUGUCCCCCUCUAGACUUGCAAGUGAAGCCUCUAGGAAAAUGAGUGCUUUCUGAGUGGCUAAAAAUAAACUCCCAGAAACUUCAUCUAGAUAUAUCAUGGCUGCAAUUUACAGCGUCUAGAACUUCAGCAUGGUAUAAUUACCAAAUGGAUUACAAUAAUUUACUUUUGGGUUAAAAGCUCUAAUGAACAUGACCUUCCAAUGGAAUAGGAAAAUAAGAGGCUAGGAACCAGCCAUUCCUCUGUCCCCUUCCAGUGCUACAAUUUUAAUGCUGGCUGACAUCCAUCUACUGACACGUGGUGGGUACAAUUACAAUUCUGAGCUCUGGGCUUCCUGGGAAGUAUGGCCUCUGGAAUAUAGCCCCCCAAAAGGGUCUAUACUUAUCCAGUGACCAGGAAGACAUCCCAAAUCACCCUCAAAUGAGCAGGAAACCCCACAAGCAGGGAACGGUUUGUUGUGAUGUCUCUGAGUAGGCAGUAUCAAAGGAUGGGACCAAGAAAGAAUGUUAUGCAGGUAAAAGAAGAUUAGACUGGGGUCAGGGAGGACCUCUGUUUGGGUUUUGCUUUAUGUGUAGCAUGAAUAACAACCACUUAUAGGCCCUUUUACAAAAUACUGA